UACGUAGGGGGCAAGCGUUGUCCGGAAUCAUUGGGCGUAAAGAGCGUGUAGGCGGCCAGAUAAGUCCGCUGUGAAAUCUCGAGGCUCAACUUCGAGCUGUCGGUGGAAACUGUCUGGCUAGAGUGCGGAAGAGGAGAAUGGAAUUCCUGGUGUAGCGGUGAAAUGCGCAGAUAUCAGGAAGAACACCCGUGGCGAAGGCGGUUCUCUGGGACGGUACUGACGCUGAGACGCGAAAGCGUGGGGAGCGAACAGG
rnacentral:rRNA from 1 species